UCCAGACUCCUACGGGAGGCAGCAGUGGGGAAUAUUGCACAAUGGGGGGAACCCUGAUGCAGCGACGCCGCGUGGGUGAAGGAGCACCUCGGUGCGUAAAGCCCUAUCGGCAGGGAAGAAACAGACGGUACCUGACUAAGAAGCCCCGGCUAACUACGUGCCAGCAGCCGCGGUAAUACGUAGGGGGCAAGCGUUAUCCGGAUUCACUGGGUGUAAAGGGAGCGUAGACGGCGACGCAAGUCUGGAGUGAAAGCCCGGGGCCCAACCCCGGGACUGCUCUGGAAACUGCGGCGCUGGAGCACGGGAGGGGCAGGCGGAAUUCCUGGUGUAGCGGUGAAAUGCGUAGAUAUCAGGAGGAACACCGGCGGCGAAGGCGGCCUGCUGGACCGUGACUGACGUUGAGGCUCGAGAGCGUGGGGAGCAAACAGGAUUAGAUACCCGGGUAA
rnacentral:rRNA from 1 species